UGGGGAAUAUUGGACAAUGGAGGAAACUCUGAUCCAGCCAUGCCGCGUGAAUGAUGAAGGCCUUCGGGUUGUAAAGUUCUUUUGGUAGGGACGAUAAUGACGGUACCUACAGAAUAAGCUCCGGCUAACUUCGUGCCAGCAGCCGCGGUAAUACGAAGGGAGCUAGCGUUGUUCGGAAUUACUGGGCGUAAAGGGCGCGUAGGCGGUUUGACAAGUCAGAUGUGAAAGCCCAGGGCUCAACCCUGGAACUGCGUUUGAUACUGUCUUUCUUGAAUUCGGGAGAGGUAAGUGGAAUUCCCAGUGUAGAGGUGAAAUUCGUAGAGAUUGGGAAGAACACCAGUGGCGAAGGCGGCUUACUGGACCGAUAUUGACGCUGAGGCGCGAAAGUGUGGGGAGCAAACA
rnacentral:rRNA from 1 species